rnacentral:lncRNA from 1 species
GCGGAUGGAGAGGAGGCAGACGGGUUGCUGGGAGAUUGUGGAUCCGGGAGGUGAUGAAACACGUGGAAUGUGAGGAAGAUGCACGAAUGGUGCNNNNNNNNNNGGACGUUGAAGCGCGAGCUCCUUCAAAUGGACGCCUGAGAUUGUGCACGGGAGCCGGGAUGCGUGGAUGCGGCCGGAUUGGGGCUUGUACGCUCGAGCUCGCUGAAUAAGAGUCAUGUACUCUAUUCUGCAGUUGGGAAGAUGCAUUCUUUUUAGUUGAAUUUAUCUAAAAUAAUGAUAAAAAUUACAAUAAGUGCUAAGGAUAAUAUUUAAUCGUGCAAAUGUUAACACCUAUUAUUUAUCAUUAUUUUGCUAGCAUUAAGUUAAGUUAAAUGGUACUUAGAUCGCACUUUUGUGCUCUCAUCA